GUGAGGAAUAUUGGUCAAUGGGCGCAAGCCUGAACCAGCCAUCCCGCGUGCAGGAAGACGGCGCUAUGCGUUGUAAACUGCUUUUCCAGGGAGAGAAACUUGCGCACGUGUUGCGCAAUUGACGGUACCCUGGGAAUAAGCAUCGGCUAACUCCGUGCCAGCAGCCGCGGUAAUACGGAGGAUGCGAGCGUUAUCCGGAUUCAUUGGGUUUAAAGGGUGCGUAGGCGGACUAUUAAGUCAGUGGUGAAAUCCUGCAGCUUAACUGCAGAACUGCCAUUGAUACUGAUAGCCUUGAGUUUGGUUAAGGUAGGCGGAAUGUGUAAUGUAGCGGUGAAAUGCUUAGAUAUUACACAGAACACCAAUUGCGUAGGCAGCUUACUGAGCCGACACUGACGCUGAGGCACGAAAGCGUGGGGAUCGAACAGGAUUAGAUACCCUAGUAGUCC
rnacentral:rRNA from 1 species